GGGGAUGUAGCUCAGUGGUAGAGCGCAUGCUUUGCAUGCAUGAGGUUCCGGGUUCGAUCCCCGGCAUCUCCA
rnacentral:tRNA from 2 species